UAUCUCUCUCUCUCUCUCUCACGAUCUUCCGCUCUGGGUUUUAUUGUUUGAUAUUUUAAUAAAUACAUAGGGGUUCGUGUGGUAUUACUUUAGGUAAUAGAACUGUUGGUUAUCACGAUCGGAAUCCCCUGGAUCCCGCAUUGCGUAACGAUAUUU